AGAGUGUAACCGGGGUGAAAAGGGUGUCACAUUUACAUCAAAAAUGUUUUUUUCCCUCCCAGAGCUACCAGCGCAGCGCCUCCCCAGAUAUAGCGCCCUAGGCAACCCAUGUGCUUCCUAUAGAACCAGCAGCAGGCUUGGCUUUCUGAAAACCACUUCACUUCUCCGUAGGCCCACCCACCAGAAGCAGUCAGCCGGCUCCAUGUUCUUUAUAAAGCAGCAGCAGUCUGCCUCCUGCACACAGCUGCUGAUCACCCACCAGACCAGAUAGGCCUCGUCUCUCUCGUGUCGGCAAGAAGCAGCGUUCCAAGCCAAGAACCAACCGGUAUGGGUGCUGCUGGAUCAACAUACCGACAGUGCGACAUUGAGAUUAAGAAUGAAUCUGCUAUCUACACAUUUGUCAACCCAAGGAUGUACACUGAUCAUGGAUCCUGUAUUACACCUUUUCAACCGACUGUUGCCCCUGGAGCCACUGGGAGUGCACUGUUCAGGAAGACUCCAAACACAGCUACAGGAUCUGUUGGCGUCGUUACCUACGAUCUCCUGAACAAGGAUACAAACAUGACAGCUGAGAAAAUAGCUGUCAUGUUUUCUGCGCCCUAUAAUUACAGCCUUUACUCCAACUUGUACGCAGUUGGAGUUUUUGAUGAGAGCACAAAGUGUGAUUAUGCUCUUUAUUAUCAGAUGUACUAAUGAUGAACCAACCACGUUUAGCAGACAAGAUGCGAAUGGGUCCUGGCUCACUUAUGAGGGGGAUCACAUAACCAUCAUGGGAACAAUGUCAGAUACUUACCAACCUGUCAUCCAGGUGCAAGUUAGCCAAAACAAGAAAUGAGUGAGUCAGCAGUGGCUCUCAAUAAUGAAUCAUCAGGGUUAAAGGAAUCAGAGUUUUCAUUUGCUCUCGUUGUCAAAUCAGUAAUUGCUUUGUACUCGGCUGCAUUUUGGGUCGUCUGUGUUACACAGAUACACAAAGUCACAUGACUUGAAAGCCUGCAACGUCUUAUACUAUUCUCUUUAUUUGUAUCUCUACACCUUUGAACACGUAUAAUUACUUUUACCGGGGUUCAAUUAUAUCACAACUUAUUAAGUCUGACAUUUGUGGGAAAAUGCUUUGAAAAUCUAAAUAAUUUCACUUUGUUAUGAUUCCCUUGUUAAUGAAAAACAUGAUAUAAUAGUAAUACGUUGUCUAUUUUCUUAUCUGUUGUUCUCCAUAUAUGAUUAAUAAAACUAAAUAAAUAAAUAUGUAAAAUGUAAAAA